rnacentral:rRNA from 1 species
AUGGCAUCUUGUACCCCGGGCGUCCCCUUCCUUAGCCCACUAAGUCGUAGGAUUUGCCCCGCCGUCCACUGCCAUGGAUCCGUCGCCCAGUCCGCUUCGGAGGAGCUGCCAUCCAAUCCUGGUGUUUCCCGCCGCCGAGGAGCCGUCGUACCGUCCGCUUCCAAGGAGCCGUCAUCCAUCCGCUUCCAUGGAGCCAUCAGAAGAUAUGCCAUUGGUGGUCUUGAGGGUGGCGAAGAUAAAGACUUGUUUUGGCAUGUUGUUUCCCAGUGCACCGCUGGAUUGCCCGAAGAUAAACCACAAUAUGUAAUGGAGAACCUAGAAGGCUUAUACGCGACCAAUACAGAGCGACCUCUCCAGUAG